UACGUAGGGGGCGAGCGUUGUCCGGAUUUAUUGGGCGUAAAGAGCGUGUAGGCGGCCAGGUAGGUCUGCUGUGAAAACUCGAGGCUCAACCUCGAGACGUCGGCGGAAACCAUCUGGCUAGAGUCCGGAAGAGGCGAGUGGAAUUCCCGGCGUAGCGGUGAAAUGCGCAGAUAUCGGGAGGAACACCAAUGGCGAAGGCAGCUCGCUGGGACGUUACUGACGCUGAGACGCGAAAGCGUGGGGAGCAAACAGG
rnacentral:rRNA from 1 species